GCCAUUUCAUACAAAUGGGAUCACACAUGUGGUCUUCUGUGUCUGACUUCUUUCAUUCAGCAUCCUGUUUCCAGGGCUCAUGAUGUUGUCGUGUGGACUUAGGAGUAGACUUGCUGUAUCCCAGAGUACCUCCAUGUUUAACAUUUUGAAGAACUGCCAAACUGUUUCCCAAAGUGAUUAACCAAUUUCCAAUCUUAUCAGUAAAAUACCAAGAGACAGAGCCUGAUACGCUCUCGAAAGGCCCUCACCCACCCAUUGGUCCUGGCAGGCCGAUGGCGGCGCCUACUUCUGUAUACUUGAUUCUGGACCUUGAUCUCUGCCACUGCUCCAGCUGACGCAGGAGCUGGCUGAAGACCUGGGGGCUGCAGGGCCAUGAGGGCAGCUUUCUGGGCCUCAGGAUUCGGGCCCCUUCUUCUCACUCUCAGGGCAGUACACACUGGUGGACAGGGCGACCUGAGGCUGGCAUACAGACACAGUCCGUGCGAUGGAGUGGUGCUGGUCCGACACAAGGGCUCGUGGGGGCACGUGUGCAACAAGGAGUGGACGCUGGCUGAGGCGUCAGUGGUCUGCAGGCAGCUGGGCUGCGGGCGUGCCGUGGGUGCCCCCAAGUACGUGCCACUGCCCGGAGAGAAGGUGCAGCCCUGGCUCCACAACGUGUCCUGCAGGGGCCACGAGCCCUCCCUCUGGGAGUGCAGCCUCGGGGCAUGGGGGCAGAGCGAGUGCCCCUACGAGUGGGUGGUGGUCGCUCUGUGUGCCAAUGGUACUUUUCGGGAGAUCCGGCUGGUGAAGGGACACAGCCCCUGCUCAGGACUCCCUGAGAUCAGGAAUGUGAAUGGGGUGGACCGCCUCUGUGGCCUGCACAAGGAGGAGGCCACUGUGUUCUGCCAGGAGCUGGGGUGUGGUCCUGCGCUCCAGGCUCCCCGCCAAGAUGUGGGCGUCGUCAGGAAGUACAUGACCUGCAGGGGCUCGGAGCCCACCAUCCGAAACUGCAGGCUCAACAACAACCUCCGCAGUGGCUGUGACUUCCUGCAGGAUGCUGAGGUGGUGUGUGCAGGACACACAGAAGCCCGGCUGGUGGGCGGUGAGCACCCCUGUGCUGGGCGUCUGGAGGUGAGGAGAGGCCUGACCUGGGGCACCGUCUGUGACACCGACCUGGACGAGGCCACAGCUCACGUGGUGUGCGGGGAGCUGCAGUGUGGCUCGGCCGUGUCCACACCUGGGGGUGCCCACUUUGGCCAGGGCUCUGGGCUGGUGUGGACAGAGGCCUUCCGCUGUGCCGGCAAUGAGUCCCUGCUGUUCCACUGUCCCCGGAGACCUGGGCACCAAUGCGGACAUGGCCAGGACGCUGGGCUCAGGUGCUCAGAGUUCCAGCUGGUCAACGGCAGCGGCAGCUGUGAGGGGCGCGUGGAGCUCCAGGUUCAGGGGUCCUGGGCACCUCUCUGUGCUGCCCAAUGGGACUUAGCAGAUGCCACCGUCCUCUGCCACCAGCUCAACUGUGGCAACGCGGUGGCCACACCCCGAGGAGGCCAUUUUGGGGGCGGACUCGCUCCCAUCUGGCCCGAUGUGUUUCACUGCGUGGGGACAGAGCCCUACCUGUGGAACUGCCCAGUGAGCACCCUGGGGGCCCCGGCCUGUGCCCCAGGAAACUCGGCCACCGUGGUUUGCUCAGGUCUCCAGCAUGCCCUGCGGCUGAGGGACGGACAGAGCCGCUGUGAUGGCCGCGUGGAGGUCUCCCUGGACGGGGUGUGGGGCCGCGUCCUGGACGACGCAUGGGGCCUGAGUGGCGCGGACGUCGUGUGCCGGCAGCUGGGCUGUGGAGGAGCCGAGCGGGCCUAUGAUGCGCCUGCGCCCGGGCGCGCGGCCGUUCCAGUGGGCCUGGGCCACGCGCGCUGCCUGGGCACCGAGAGCCGCCUGACUCAGUGCAACGUGUCCGCGUCCCUGCUGGUGUCUUCGGGGGCCUCGCGGGACGCCGGCGUCGUUUGCUCCGGGAGCAGGCGGGUGCGGCUGGCUGGGGGCCUGGGCCGCUGUGCAGGGCGCGUGGAGGUGCUCCACGGCGGUGCAUGGGGCACUGUGUGCGACGACGGCUGGGACCUGCGCGACGCCCACGUGGUCUGCGGGCAGCUGGGCUGCGGCCGUGCGCUCAGUGCCCCGGGGGCCGCGCGCUUCGGGGCCGGCGCCGGGCGCAUCUGGCUGGAUGAGUCGGGCUGCGGGGGCCACGAGUCUGCGCUGUGGCAGUGCCCGUCGCGGGGCUGGGGCCGGCACGACUGCGGACACAAGGAGGACGCUGGCGCCGUCUGCUCAGGGUCAGUGGCCCUGAGGCUGCGAGGUGGCACCCAUGGCUGUGCUGGGUGGCUAGAUGUGUUCUACAAUGGAACGUGGGGUGCCGUGUGCAGUAAUGCUCUGAAGGACACCUCCCUGUCGAUCAUCUGCAAGCAGCUGGGCUGUGGGGAGCAGGGCUGGCUGGAGAACAGGCCCUUCCACACUGGAUCAGGCACCUUCUGGGUGGACAAGAUUGAGUGCCGCAGGCUGCGGAACUCCACACUGUGGCAGUGCCCCUCAGCCCCAUGGCACCCGCACUCCUGUGCCCAUGGAGAGGAGGUCUGGGUCACCUGUGCAGUAGGGUUGUCAGAGAAAGCGACGCAGGACUCUGCGGAGACCCUCAACUGUUCAUCCACUCACAGCUGCCCAGAGGAGGGCGCACUGCGUGUUCGCGGGGGCGAGGGCGGCUGCUCUGGCCGCGUGGAGCUCUGGCAUGCCGGCUCCUGGGGCACCGUGUGCGAUGAUUCCUGGGACCUGGCAGACGCGGAGGUUGUAUGUCGCCAGCUGGGCUGUGGCAGGGCUGAGGGUGCCCUGGUGGGGGCCACCUUUGGGCCGGGCUCUGGGCCUGUGUGGCUGGAUGAGGUGGGGUGCCGGGGCAAUGAGGCGUCUCUGUGGGACUGUCCGGCGGAGCCGUGGGGGCAUGGAGACUGUGGACACAAGGAGGACGCAGGCGUGCGCUGUUCCCGUGACAUGGGGACCGCGGUCCAGCUGCCAGCAUCAGGCCCUCCGCUGGCCCCUGCACCUGCCCUCAAGACCAUGACCCUGCCUGUGACCUUCUGCCUUGUCCUCAGUGCCCUCCUGGUCAUUGUGUCCCUGGUCCUCUGGGCACAGUGGUGCCGAGGCAGAAGACCCUGCAGGGGUUCUGGAAUGCUGGGAAAUCUGCCCUCUGAGGGUGUUUAUGAGGACAUCGGAGCUGUUGCCAUGGGGGAGAAAGACGAGGGGCCCUGGGUGGCCCCGGGCCUGGAGCUGGAGGACGGCUAUGAUGAUGCUGCGGAGCCUGAGCACAGCCCCGGGUGGGGGCCGCCGGCCGGGAGCCCCUGAAUCCCAUGGGUGGGACUCCUGUCAGCCUGGGCCCCACAGGUCAGGCUGGGGAAGAAGACCACAGUGGCCCCUGCCCCAGGACACGAUGGCCACGAGCUGACCACAGGCCCUCACUGCCUGUGACCUGGCUCCCUGACACUCACAGCUGUCCUGCUCCGAUGACCCCAGCCCUUUGUGACGACACCCCAAGUAUCUAGAUCUUUCUGGACUCCUGCUUUCCCAUCCCAGCAGCCUGGGAGAGACCAGGUCUGAUCCUCCUGUGGCUCCUCCACCUGUAGUCUGUUCGGCAAUGCCGGCCCUUACCGCCUACCCCUCAGUGUUCCCCUCAGGGUCUGGCUCUGGGCACUUGGGGUCUCUCCGAGCACUGCCUCCCCCUCAGCCCUUCUCUGUGCCCACCCACCUGGGCGCUAAGAGAGGCCCUACUUGUGGUGUCAGGGACUGCUGUGCUGGCAAAGAUGGUCUUGAAGCUCCUUUUGGAUAGGGAGCCCUGAUGCGGGAGCUGGGGCAGCACCCAGAGAGGCUGACAGGGCUUCUGGGGUGAAGGGGGGGUGAGAAUCGUCAGGCGCCAGGGUCUGGAGGUCUUCCUGGAGCGGCUCUUGACGGAGUCUUGAGGGGGAAGGAAGGGCUUCCCCCAUGUCUGAGCUCACCUUGCACCCCUGUGCACACACACAGACCUCUCUCUUUCCUCAAGAGUUGGCCAGCCUGGCUUACUGGUGCACCCUGACAUUGCUGGGGCUGGGUAUGGAGGAAGGUGUUCAGAGGCAGAGCAUCCCUGGGGUUGUGAGGGAGAGAAACAAGCUGGAAGGAAACGGGGUGGGGGGUCUGAGCAUGGGACAGGGAGCCCAGAAGACACCGGGGAGCAGGGUGAGGACAUCUGGCCAGCAGUCAGAGAGGAUGGGGACUCAGGGGAGGGAUGCAGCCCAAAGCACCACAGGCUGUGGUGUGGGUUCUUCCCUGAGGCUCCCAAUCCCCUCAGUCCCUUUGGGGGCCCCAAUCAGGCACCGUGCAAGUGAAGAGCGCUGGUGACCUGCCACCUGCAGGCCCCCGAGGCCUGAGCUGGGAGUGCGGCUCAGUGCACAGUGAGGCUGCCGUCCAGGAGGUGCAGGAGCUGGCGCAGGGAGGGUCCCCCCACCUUCUCUGGGAAUUCCUCAUCCAGACUCUCCCCACCUCCUCCACUGGCCUGAGAACUGGAGCUGCCUUCUCAGACUGGUUUUCUGGCACAUAUCUCGGAAAGUAAUGUUUGUUAAUCUUGUUCUGGUAAGUAAUCUUGUUGACCUAAUACACAUUUAUUACUGUAAGUUUAAAAACCCAUAGAACCAAGAAAGGAAAUGGAAAACAAUCUGUCAGAAAUGAACAUCUCAACAUUGUGGUUCAUAUCCACUGAGAAGUGUUCUUUGCACAGAUGUAGAUACGACACGAUUACGAUAAUGCACUGGAUCAUGCACACCCCAUUCCCUGCGUCUUCACCCAGAGCAUGCAGCUAACCUACUGGCCUGCCAUGUCUUCACCCUCAGUGGCUAGUAUCCCUUCACAUCGCCUUCCAUCACUUGCUUAUUCCUUGCCUGUUGCAUGUGUGGCUGCUUCUCAAGACUGCGGCCCUCACAGAGAGGUGUGCAUGCUUUAUGAUGCUGACCUCAGGUCAUGCCCACUUUCAAGGGUUCUGAUCAUGCUGCUGUCAGUUCACAGCAUGCUGGAGCUUGGAGCGAUCUUCCUUGUUCAAAUGUUUUUUGUGUGAGGCCAAGAAAGCUAUUUUCCACCAAGCCCUGGUUCCUGGCUGCAAGGCCAUUGCUUCUCUGUGAGUCUCAUACAUGGGUCUGUGCAGGCAGGUGCUCUGCAGGAAGCCAGGCCCAGGCCUCGCUGCAUGCUGCUGGCUCCUCCGGGCUCAGGCCCAGUGGCCAGCUCCUGCUGUGCCCCACAGGCGACAGACCCUGUACUGCUGGGGAGGGAGGGGCUCCCUGGGAGUUGGAGUGGCCCCUGGUAUGAAGGUGAGCACGCUUGUCUGUCUCUGCGGUGGCUGCAGCAGCAAAGGGACCAGGGACAGUGCUGUCCUCUCUGCAGCUGUGGCUUCCUGGACCCUCCCUCCAGGUGACUCACAGGGCUCUGCUCCAAGGACCUUUGUGAGGGGAGCAAACGACAGACAUUCCCUGAGUGUCACAACCCCCAGGGUGAUGGGCUGUCUCCACCCUUUGCAGGAGCCACCCAUACACGCGGGGGUGAAAGGCUGAGAUCAUAAUGCUGUGGAGAGUUCAUGGAAAAUGGGUCUUAGGCAUUCAUUUUUGUUAACAUUUUACUUUAAUGUCAUUGACACCAUCAAAAUAAAGUGUGAGCAAAUGGGAAAACUGAAAUUAAGGUAACAAAUUGGGAUAGAAGGUAAAGAUUAGAUUUCCAGUUUCUGAAAAUUCUGGACAAGAGGUCCUCCAGCACAUCUUUGCCUUGAAGGAUCUGCCUGUGUUCUUGCCCUGAAGGCUGAGCGGAGCCCCAGGCUCUGCUGGGGUGAAGGGACUGUGCCCUACAAAUGUGCAAUUGCAGGCAGCUGGGCUUCAGCUGUGCACCAUGGGCCCCGUGUUGGCCCCAGCAGACACAGCCACCCUUGCUCUGGGCGCAGGGCCUGGUCCGGGUGGAGAGGCCUGGCCCUGGGAGCACUCUUGGGGUUGUGCGUGUGAGUGUGCAGGAGG